rnacentral:rRNA from 1 species
CGUCUCAGUUCAGAUUGCAGGCUGCAACUCGCCUGCAUGAAUCGGAAUUGCUAGUAAUCGCAGAUCAGCAUGCUGCGGUGAAUACGUUCCCGGGCCUUGUACACACCGCCCGUCACACCAUGGGAGUCGGUAACACCCGAAGUCGGUAGCCUAACCGUAAGGAGGGCGCCGCCGAAGGUGGGAUUGAUGACUGGGGUGAAGUCGUAACAAGGUAGC